rfam:Danio rerio chromosome 14 genomic contig CTG10412, GRCz11 reference primary assembly.
UCUAGUCGUGUAGCUCUCUGGUCGCCCACUGAAGCUAAGCAGGGCUGCGCCUGGUCAGUACCUGGAUGGGAGACCACAUGGAAAAGCUGGGUUGCUGCCGGAA